rnacentral:rRNA from 1 species
UACAUGGGGUGCAAACGUUGCUCGGAAUUAUUGGGCGUAAAGCGCACGUAGGCGGUUUGUUAAGUCGGAUGUGAAAUCCCUCGGCUCAACUGAGGAAGUGCAUCCGAAACUGGCAAGCUUGAGUACGAAAGAGGGUCGCGGAAUUCCCGGUGUAGAGGUGAAAUUCGUAGAUAUCGGGAGGAACACCGGUGGCGAAGGCGGCGACCUGGGUCGAUACUGACGCUGAGGUGCGAAAGCGUGGGAGCAACAGG